rnacentral:rRNA from 1 species
UACAGAGGGUGCGAGCGUUAAUCGGAAUUACUGGGCGUAAAGCGCGCGUAGGCGGCUUUUCAAGCCGAUUGUGAAAUCCCCGGGCUUAACCUGGGAACUGCAGUCGGGACUGUCUAGCUAGAGUAUGGGAGAGGGAAGUGGAAUUUCAGGUGUAGCGGUGAAAUGCGUAGAUAUCUGAAGGAACAUCAGUGGCGAAAGCGACUUCCUGGACCAAUACUGACGCUCAUGUGCGAAAGCGUGGGGAGCAAACAGG